rnacentral:rRNA from 1 species
UACGUAGGGAGCAAGCGUUAUCCGGAUUUACUGGGUGUAAAGGGCGCGUAGGCGGGAUGGCAAGUCAGAUGUGAAAUCCAGGGGCUCAACCCCUGAACUGCAUUUGAAACUGUCGUUCUUGAGUACUGGAGAGGUUGACGGAAUUCCUAGUGCAGCGGUGAAAUGCGUAGAUAUUAGGAGGAACACCAGUGGCGAAGGCGGUCAACUGGACAGCAACUGACGCUGAGGCGCGAAAGCGUGGGGAGCAAACAGG